GACGAACGCUGGCGGCGUGCUUAACACAUGCAAGUCGAACGGAAAGGCCCUGCUUUUGUGGGGUGCCCGAGUGGCGAACGGGUGAGUAACACGUGAGUAACCUGCCCUUGACUUUGGGAUAACUUCAGGAAACUGGGGCUAAUACCGGAUAGGAGCUCCUGCUGCAUGGUGGGGGGUGGAAAGUUUCGGCGGUUGGGGAUGGACUCGCGGCUUAUCAGCUUGUUGGUGGGGUAGUGGCUUACCAAGGCUUUGACGGGUAGCCGGCCUGAGAGGGUGACCGGCCACCUUGGGCCUGCGAGACGGCCCAGACUCCUACGGGAGGCAGCAGUGGGGAAUAUUGCACAAUGGGCGGAAGCCUGAUGCAGCAACGCCGCGGUCGGGAUGACGGCCUUCGGGUUGUGAACCGCUUUCGCCUGUGACGCAGCGUGAGUGACGGUAAUGGGUAAAGAAGCACCGGCUAACUACGUG
rnacentral:rRNA from 1 species